AGAGUUUGAUCAUGGCUCAGGACAAACGCUGGCGGCGUGCCUAAAACAUGCAAGUCGUACGAUCCUUCGGGAUAGUGGCGGACGGCUGAGUAACACGUAGGUAAUCUACCCUUGAGUGGGGAAUAACUCCGCGAAAGCGGAGCUAAUACCGCAUACGAUCGCAUGCUCACGGGUGUGCGAGGAAAGCCGCAAGGCGCUCGAGGAUGGGCCUGCGCCCGAUUAGCUUGUUGGUGAGGUAAAGGCUCACCAAGGCGACGAUCGGUAGCUGGUCUGAGAGGAUGAUCAGCCAGACUGGGACUGUGACACGGCCCAGACUCCUACGGGAGGCAGCAGUUAGGAAUCUUGGGCAAUGGGCGAAAGCCUGACCCAGCAACGCCGCGUGGGUGAUGAAGGCCUUCGGGUCGUAAAGCCCUUUUGCACGGGAAGAUAAUGACGGUACCGUGCGAAUAAGCCCCGGCUAACUACGUGCCAGCAGCCGCGGUAAUACGUAGGGGGCGAGCGUUGUCCGGAUUUAUUGGGCGUAAAAGGCUUGUAGGUGGCCACGCCAAGUCGGAUGUGAAAUCUCCCGGCUCAACUGGGAGGGGUCAUUCGAUACUGGCGGGCUCGAGGCCGGUAGGGGGAAGUGGAAUUCCCGGUGUAGUGGUGGAAUGCGUAGAUAUCGGGAGGAACACCAGUGGCGAAGGCGGCUUCCUGGACCGGUUCUGACACUGAGGAGCGAAAGCGUGGGGAGCGAUCCGGAUUAGAUACCCCGGUAGUCC
rnacentral:rRNA from 1 species